UACGUAGGGCGCAAGCGUUGUCCGGAAUUAUUGGGCGUAAAGAGCUCGUAGGUGGCUUGUUGCGUCUGCCGUGAAAGCCCGUGGCUUAACUACGGGUCUGCGGUGGAUACGGGCAGGCUAGAGGCUGGUAGGGGCAAGCGGAAUUCCUGGUGUAGCGGUGAAAUGCGCAGAUAUCAGGAGGAACACCGGUGGCGAAGGCGGCUCGCUGGCCAGUUCUGACGCUGAGGAGCGAAAGCGUGGGGAGCGAACAGG
rnacentral:rRNA from 1 species